rnacentral:rRNA from 1 species
GUGGGAGCCCCCCCGAGGGGCGCACCAUCGACCGAUCCUGAUGUCUUCGGAUGGAUUUGAGUAGGAGCGUAGCUGUGGGGACCCGAAAGAUGGUGAACUAUGCCUGAAUAGGGCGAAGCCAGAGGAAACUCUGGUGGAGGCUCGCAGCGGUUCUGACGUGCAAAUCGAUCGUCAAAUUUGGGUAUAGGGGCGAAAGACUAAUCGAACCAUCUAGUAGCUGGUUCCUUCC